UUGUACUAGUACAAUAAGAAGUAGUACGUACUAUUAGUACUAGUACUACGGGUAAUACUAGUAAGUACUACUAGUUCAAUUACUACUAGUACAAG
rnacentral:tRNA from 1 species